GUGCGCGUAAAGUCAAGUUUCACAUAAAAUUGAAAAAAUUAAAUUACCCCUCCAUAAAAGUUUAGUUACCCGCUCAUUCUUUGACAUCAAAGAAACCCUAGUGUUUAGAUAAAAAAUUUAUUUACCUGCAACCACAAUCGCUUUCACAACUAUUCCGGCCACCACAACCACCAUCAUCGCCAAUCAUUAAUCUCCUUUGAUAAGCCUUUCGAUUUCCCUAACCGGAUCAAUCACACAUUCACACCUGUCGAUUGAAUGAAGUCGAUAAUGAUUUUUGAAGAAGAAAGAAAUUGAUCGCUUGAAGUCAGAGGCAAAGCUUAGAAAAGUGGAACAGUUUAUUCAGGCGGUAGGCUAGUAUGAAGAUAAAAUAUUUCAGGAAAGUGUUCAAUUGCAUCAGGUUAGUGAUUGGGUUUGUAUAUUUUACUCGUAUAUAUCUUAUCUAAUUAUAGUUUCAGAAGAUAAUAACUCUAUGUUAGAGACAAGGUAAUAGGAGUUAAUGCGGGAAAGCUCAUUCAACUCAUGAACAACAAGAGGAGAUGAUGAGGAGCUGCAUACCAAACCCAACUCAUUAGUUCUAGUUGGGAUAGCAAAGUUAUCGUUUAUUGACAAGGAAUGACUUAUUUCUCAAGUUGCGACUUUAGAACAUACUUUAAAGGUGUCUCUUUCAGGCUUAAUUUGGACUUAUAUCAUCUCUGGAAGAAACACAAGUUCGCUCCACUUUGCACGUGUGAAGUUCCAGCUUGGAUAAGAAACCAGCAGAUUUGCAUGGAACAAUCCCUCAAAGUGUCAGAGUAGAGAAGCGAUCAACAAACAUGUGUGUCACUAAGCUCUAGAGAAGUGGGAAACCAACAAUGAAAAGACUUCACCCAGUUUGAAUAUCGAGAUUCUCAACCAGGAAACUAAUAAUGCCCAAAGAACGUAAACUGUGUGUAGAGAGGGUGAAAGUUUGUUUCAAUCGUGAUAAGCUAUAUUGUUUACAAUGUUCAGGAAAAUGAAGAUCAUAAACUUUAUUCUAAGACACAUGUUAUGCAUAUAAAAAGGCACUACAACUGCAUGAUAAAGAUGUUUGCACAACUUGACCUAAACCAUUUCUCUCUAUACUAUAAAUGAUUCAACUUGACCCGUUGCCCAAGUUGUUCAUUUUGUAACAGUCAAAUUUUAUUUUGCUCAUUUUGACCGUUGGAAGUUCAUGAAGGUCUCUUGUGGAGCUAGAGUUAUAUGUCAUUUGAAUUACUUGGAUAAAGAAAUCUCACACAUGUAUCCGACAUUGCCGUUGUAGAUUUCUUGUAAUCAUGACUCACAUUUGUGCCAUAGUAAUCAACAGAUUAUGUUGCAAGUAAUAAUAACUAACAAGAAAGUAAUGUAUUUGAUAAUA